rnacentral:rRNA from 1 species
GACGAACGCUGGCGGCGUGCCUAAUACAUGCAAGUCGGGCGGGGUUUUGAGGGGCUUGCCCUUCAAAACCCAGCGGCGAACGGGUGAGUAACACGUGGGCAACCUGCCCGCAAGACCGGGAUAACUUCGGGAAACCGGAGCUAAUACCGGAUAGGACCCCGGAUCGCAUGAUCCGGGGGUGGAAAGGCGGCCUCGGCUGCCACUUGCGGAUGGGCCCGCGGCGCAUUAGCUAGUUGGUGAGGUAACGGCUUACCAAGGUGACGAUGCGUAGCCGACCUGAGAGGGUGACCGGCCACACUGGGACUGAGACACGGCCCAGACUCCUACGGGAGGCAG